ACCCCAGAGCAGCAGGCGAUGCAUGGCGAGGGGUGCAGUGAGCACGGGCAGCCUGCCUGCCUGCUGGGAGCGAGCCAGCCACGUUGCAUGGUGUGCUGGAUACCAAUAGGGUAAUCAGCACAUAAGCUGCUAAUUAAAAUAUAAGUACACUGCUCUGAGAAGGUGCUUGUGCAAUGGACCUUGAAAUGCACUGUUUGCAUAGUUGAUGAGAGGCAGUUAAUGCUCUACAGUAACUCUGCGUGGCACAUGUGGAAGCCCACGGGGCUGCCCUGCUGCUGCUGGCUCCCCGACCUGGUGCUCCUUGUGCAGCCCCGGAGGAAGCCCUGGGCUCCUACCUGGCUUCUUCCCAGCAGCCGCAGCCCUUGUGGCAGAGUAGGGGAAGGAGAGACGUGUACCUGGCCCUGGCUGAUGCUCUCUUUGCAGCAGGUGGAAGGAGAGCAUUGUAUUUCUUACCACUAGCCACAGAAGGGCUGAAACUAAACUGAACCAAGAAGCUGAAUCUGGUUGCCACAAGCUGGGAAGACCUGGUGAGGAGGCACG